rnacentral:rRNA from 1 species
AGAAAAAGAGUGGCGAACGGGUGAGUAACACGUGGGUAACCUGCCCAUCAGAAGGGGAUAACACUUGGAAACAGGUGCUAAUACCGUAUAACACUAUUUUCCGCAUGGAAGAAAGUUGAAAGGCGCUUUUGCGUCACUGAUGGAUGGACCCGCGGUGCAUUAGCUAGUUGGUGAGGUAACGGCUCACCAAGGCAACGAUGCAUAGCCGACCUGAGAGGGUGAUCGGCCACACUGGGACUGAGACACGGCCCAGACUCCUACGGGAGGCAGCAGUAGGGAAUCUUCGGCAAUGGACGAAAGUCUGACCGAGCAACGCCGCGUGAGUGAAGAAGGUUUUCGGAUCGUAAAACUCUGUUGUUAGAGAAGAACAAGGAUGAGAGUAAAAUGUUCAUCCCUUGACGGUAUCUAACCAGAAAGCCACGGCUAACUACGUGCCAGCAGCCGCGGUAAUACGUAGGUGGCAAGCGUUGUCCGGAUUUAUUGGGCGUAAAGCGAGCGCAGGCGGUUUCUUAAGUCUGAUGUGAAAGCCCCCGGCUCAACCGGGGAGGGUCAUUGGAAACUGGGAGACUUGAGUGCAGAAGAGGAGAGUGGAAUUCCAUGUGUAGCGGUGAAAUGCGUAGAUAUAUGGAGGAACACCAGUGGCGAAGGCGGCUCUCUGGUCUGUAACUGACGCUGAGGCUCGAAAGCGUGCGGAGCGAACAGGAUUAGAUACCCUGGUAGUCCACGCCGUAAACGAUGAGUGCUAAGUGUUGGAGGGUUUCCGCCCUUCAGUGCUGCAGCAAACGCAUUAAGCACUCCGCCUGGGGAGUACGACCGCAAGGUUGAAACUCAAAGGAAUUGACGGGGGCCCGCACAAGCGGUGGAGCAUGUGGUUUAAUUCUAAGCAACGCGAAGAACCUUACCAGGUCUUGACAUCCUUUGACCACUCUAGAGAUAGAGCUUCCCCUUCGGGGGCAAAGUGACAAGUGGUGCAUGGUUGUCCUCAGCUCCUGUCCUGAGAUGUUGGGUUAAGUCCCGCAACGAGCGCAACCCUAAUGGUAAUUGCCAUCAUUUAGUUGG